CUUGUAGCUCAGCUGGAUAGAGCGUUAGACUCCGACUCUAAAGGCCGCUGGUUCGAAUCCAGUCAA
rnacentral:tRNA from 1 species